GGACGGGUGAGGAAUACGUCGGAAUCUGCCUAUUUGUGGGGGAUAACGUAGGGAAACUUACGCUAAUACCGCAUACGACCUACGGGUGAAAGCGGAGGACCUUCGGGCUUCGCGCAGAUAGAUGAGCCGACGUCGGAUUAGCUAGUUGGCGGGGUAAAGGCCCACCAAGGCGACGAUCCGUAGCUGGUCUGAGAGGAUGAUCAGCCACACUGGAACUGAGACACGGUCCGGACUCCUACGGGAGGCAGCAGUGGGGAAUAUUGGACAAUGGGCGCAAGCCUGAUCCAGCCAUGCCGCGUGUGUGAAGAAGGCCUUCGGGUUGUAAAGCACUUUUGUCCGGAAAGAAAAGCACUGGGUUAAUACCCUGGUGUCAUGACGGUACCGGAAGAAUAAGCACCGGCUAACUUCGUGCCAGCAGCCGCGGUAAUACGAAGGGUGCAAGCGUUACUCGGAAUUACUGGGCGUAAAGCGUGCGUAGGCGGUUUGUUAAGUCUGAUGUGAAAGCCCUGG
rnacentral:rRNA from 1 species